rnacentral:rRNA from 1 species
CUUCGGGUGACGAGCGGCGAACGGCUGAGUAACACGUUGGUACGUACCCCAAACUCAGGGAUAGCCCAUCGAAAGAUGGAUUAAUACCGGAUGACCAAGCAAUUGGAAAGCUUUUGCGGUUUGGGAGCGGCCUGCGUCCUAUCAGUUAGUUGGUGAGGUAAAAGCUCACCAAGACAAUGACGGGUAGCUGGUGUGAGAGCACGACCAGCCAGAAUGGGACUGAGACACGGCCCAUACUCC